GAGACUCUGUGCGCGUGCAUAUCAAUAAGCGGAGGAAAAGAAACUAACAAGGAUUCCCUUAGUAACGGCGAGUGAAGCGGGAAGAGCUCAAAUUUGAAAUCUUCAAGGUUCUACCUUGACGAAUUGUAGUUUAUAGAAGUGUUUUCUGUUAGUGGAGUGGCAAAAGUUCUUUGGAAUAGGACAUCAUAGAGGGUGAGAAUCCCGUAUUUGGUCAUUCCUCCUAGCGUUGUGAUACACUUUCGACGAGUCGGAUUGUUUGGGAAUGCAGUCCAAAAUGGGUGGUAAAUUUCAUCUAAAGCUAAAUAUUGGCGAGAGACCGAUAGCGAACAAGUACCGUGAGGGAAAGAUGAAAAGAACUUUGAAAAGAGAGUUAAACAGUACGUGAAAUUGUCAAAAGGGAAGCGUUUGACACCAGUGUUGUUUAGUUGAAAAUCAAUUCAAUAGUUUUUGAUUCUAAGUAGUAUUGACUUCAUCAGCUUGCUGCUUUCUUCUCAGAAAUUAUUGAAUGCACUUUUCAGUUAACAAGUCAACAUCAAUUUCUUUUGUUGUAAAAGGGUAAGAGGAAGGUGGCUUGCGCUUCGGCUCAAGUGUUUAUAGCCUUUUACCUCUGCAAUCGGAGAGACUGAGGACAGCAGCGUAGACUCCUUCGGGGGUUAGAUACACUUGUGCUAAGCUAUAGCCUUGUAUAGACAACUUGUUGACUAUGCUCAGUCAUGUAGCUUACUCGCAUGAUAGCUAUUUUACCUACGCUUAGGAUGUUGACAGCAGUAUAGACUGU
rnacentral:rRNA from 1 species